UGACAAAAUAAAUGUCCCCAGUGGUCC
rnacentral:piRNA from 1 species